rnacentral:rRNA from 1 species
UACGGAGGGUGCAAGCGUUAUCCGGAUUCACUGGGUUUAAAGGGUGCGUAGGCGGAUAGGUAAGUCAGUGGUGAAAUCUCCGAGCUUAACUCGGAACUGCCGUUGAUACUAUUUGUCUUGAAUACUGUGGAGGUAAGCGGAAUAUGUCAUGUAGCGGUGAAAUGCUUAGAUAUGACAUAGAACACCAAUUGCGAAGGCAGCUACUACGCAGUUAUUGACGUGAGGCACGAAAGCGUGGGGAUCAAACAGG